CAUCACUCCCCAUUAACACCAGGGUGCUUGUCUAUGAGCAUGAAUGUCGUGGCCGAGGUGUUCUCUCCUGGGGAACCCCAGCAGUAUAACAGGCUAGGCUCCCCUUUCGUUCCAUUAAGACCCCACCAAAGAUGUUCCAUGUACGCACCCCGUUACAUAAAGGGCAUGAAGAUUAAUUACCUGGAGGCUCUUUGCAGCCACAAGUCUCUCUCCAUGUGCCUUGGAAGCCCUUAGACUCAUUGCUCACCCCAGGAGCAGGACAGUUGGGGGAAGCACCUCCCCCCGCCAGCUCUAAAGAGAGCAGACAUUCUACAGUCACCAUCACCCAGUCCACCAGUCCCCACCACCGACAUUCCCUGGGAUUUUGUCAACUGAGCCUGUGGGCCCUCUUGGCUGUGUGACCACGGCGGAACUCUUCUCCCAUCUGGUCUAAAGGCUGGAACUUCCCACCUCUGCUGUUCACUUCGUCCUCCGAUUCGGCCACGAUUUCCUAACACUGACCAGAGGAGACCUUGACUUUGCCAUCUCUGCAUCAUCGUCCGUCGAUCGGAUCUGGAAGACCCAAGAAUGUUUAAUGCCUUUGGGUUUGACUAUCUCAAUUCUCUCUCUUAAAUAUGACAAGGCUCUGGUCUAGAUGCAAAGCAUCCUUAGCUGAGCCUUGCUCGGCCGUGUCUGGUGCCGUAUAGAGGGUCAGGGGGGAGGCCUGUCGGGACACUGAAUAGGAAGGACUCUGGAGCCACAGGAAGGACUCACGGAGGUAAAGGAAACCAGCAGCUGCAAUUUGCUGCUGCUGAAAAUGCCCUUGACUCCUGAGGGAAGGAGUGAUUUUCAGAAACACCUGGUAUAGACCUCUCUGGCUCCCAUCUAGCAGCCUGUGGGGGCAAGUAAAUCCUAAUCACCUGGGGGAGCCCCUGGACUUGAGUGGUGCAGUGUUGGAGCAGACGCAGCUACACGGCACUCCCAAGUUAUAUGGAUGGCAAUGUUCUGUUUGCGGAGCCAUGUGGGGCACGUGACCUGCUGGUACUCUACGGGUGCUUCCUGCUUCGGCAGCUGAAGUCUUUCCAUAAGAGGUUGAGUGAAGUGACCGAACAGAGAGACACUGGGUGACUUUGAUGGGCCAUGGUGGGUGCCUCUGGCCAACACCUAAUGCUUCAUGGACUGGCUGUAGCAGUGGCCCGGAUGCUGUCGACUGGGCAUUUAUGCCAUUGGGUUUGAAUAGGAGGCGAGGCCAUCAGUCAGCUGGAGACAUUCGCACCCUACACGGUUUCAAGAGUGGAUGCUACUGGAAGUGUGGCCCUGACAUUGCUUCUGCGCUAGUCUGACCUUGGACACGCAGGUUACAUAAGGAAACUUGAAUAAUUCUGAGGGCUUGAGACAUCUUGGAUUCCAAGUACAUCCACUGCUCAGCCACGCUCUGUGCCAGCUGCCAGUGCCUCCCCCACUCUUGUCAGUACAUAAUCUGCCCCAUUACACUGAUUUAGGAGAAAAAUGCAGUUCGUUUAACUUUUGUUCCUAAAGAAUGAGAAGAACUUCUGUUGGGAGCAGUUAAGGACAGAGAACCAGAAUGCCUCACCCAAGGGCAGACAUGGAGGACACAAUGGUGCCGAUGGUUGCCGAUGCCUGUGCAAGAAGCGUCCCGUUUAGACAUGGCAUCUCACCAGCCAGUGUCGUAUUCACAAUCAAGUUCUCAGCCACGUCCUCUGAACAGAUGGGAUACCAAGAUAGGCGGGUCAAAAGUGUUGGGAAUGGAUUUAUACAACUGACGUCUGAGGAAUAAAAACGGGCAAGGCGGCCUGAUGAAAGUCCAACACCAUUUCCAGAAGCUGUGUGCGGCUGUGUGGAGGAGGCACAGGGGACCCAGGAUCGGGACAGGACUCCCAAGCUUAUGAUGUGUGUGACCAAGGGCAUAUGGCAGAGCGUUUAGAAUUGAACCCUAGAGGACAAGUGCCUCUCACUGACUGUGGGAAUUGAGUGAUUUCAUUUUUCUUUGCCUCGCUUUUCUUAUAGAAAAUGAAGAUAAAGAUCAACAAAAUAUGUGUUAGCUUGUCAUCACAGGAAAGCUGAAUAAGAAGCCAUGAUUGAUAUA